UACGUAGGGGGCAAGCGUUGUCCGGAAUCAUUGGGCGUAAAGAGCGUGUAGGCGGCCCGGUAAGUCCGCUGUGAAAGUCCAGGGCUCAACCCUGGGAUGCCGGUGGAUACUGUCGGGCUCGAGUCCGGAAGAGGAGUGUGGAAUUCCUGGUGUAGUGGUGAAAUGCGUAGAUAUCGGGAGGAACACCAGUGGCGAAGGCGACUACCUGGCCUGUUCUUGACGCUGAGGCGCGAAAGCUAGGGGAGCAAACGGG
rnacentral:rRNA from 1 species